rnacentral:rRNA from 1 species
GAUGAACGCUGGCGGCGUGCCUAAUACAUGCAAGUCGAGCGAACGGACGAGAAGCUUGCUUCUCUGAUGUUAGCGGCGGACGGGUGAGUAACACGUGGUUAACCUACCUAUAAGACUGGGAUAACUUCGGGAAACCGGAGCUAAUACCGGAUAAUAUUUUGAACCGCAUGGUUCAAAAGUGAAAGACGGUCUUGCUGUCACUUAUAGAUGGAUCCGCGCUGCAUUAGCUAGUUGGUAAGGUAACGGCUUACCAAGGCAACGAUGCACAGCCGACCUGAGAGGGUGAUCGGCCACACUGGAACUGAGACACGGUCCAGACUCCUACGGGAGGCAGCAGUAGGGAAUCUUCCGCAAUGGGCGAAAGCCUGACGGAGCAACGCCGCGUGAGUGAUGAAGGUCUUCGGAUCGUAAAACUCUGUUAUUAGGGAAGAACAUAUGUGUAAGUAACUGUGCACAUCUUGACGGUACCUAAUCAGAAAGCCACGGCUAACUACGUG